UUACGUCCAUACCACUUUCAAACACUAGGUCCCAUAUGAUCACUGAAGUUAAGCAACGUUAAGCCUGGUCAAUACCUAGAUGGGUGACCACUUGGGAAUAUCAAAUACUGU